UGCCGAUAGGUUGUAAAAUGUUACAGUCGUUAUGGGCCUGUUUCCAUUACCCGUGAAUGCGGCUGUGACCGUGAUUUAAAUUCAUGCUAUAUAUAGGCCUUAGUUCUCUACAAUAUUAUGUUUUGUUAUGACAAUCAAAUUUGAAUAAAUAAUAUUUUGAGAAUUAGUUCUAUUUUCAACGAUUGAUCGUUGAUUUGUUCUUUGUUCCUUUUUGUUCUACAUCAAUUUGGUCCUUGUAUUUUAAGGAAACUAAUUAGUUG
rnacentral:misc_RNA from 1 species